UUUAAGCGCAAACAUGAGUUUCCGUGCUCAACUUUAAUCGUUCGUUUUAUUUUUCAAAAAAUUAUAAUUAGUUUUUUUUUGUUGUUAUGAGAUGAUAAAACAUGAAUAGUAAUUUACUUAUGUUUUUAAAUUUUUUUAAAAAAAAUUCAAAUAAGACGGACGAUCAAAUUUAGGCGCGAAAAAAUAUGGCUGCACUUAGA
rfam:Oryza barthii chromosome 7, whole genome shotgun sequence.